GACGAACGCUGGCGGCGUGCCUAAUACAUGCAAGUAGAACGCUGAAGGAGGAGCUUGCUUCUCUGGAUGAGUUGCGAACGGGUGAGUAACGCGUAGGUAACCUGCCUGGUAGCGGGGGAUAACUCUUGGAAACGAUAGCUAAUACCGCAUAAGAGUAGAUGUUGCAUGACAUUUGCUUAAAAGUUGCAAUUGCAUCACUACCAGAUGGCCCUGCGUUGUAUUAGCUAGUUGGUGGGGUAACGGCUCACCAAGGCGACGAUACAUAGCCGACCUGAGAGGGUGAUCGGCCACACUGGGACGGAGACACGGCCCAGACGCCUACGGGAGGCAGCAGUAGGGAAUCUUAGGCAAUGGACGGAAGUCUGACCGAGCAACGCCGCGUGAGUGAAGAAGGUUUUCGGAUCGUAAAGCUCUGUUGUAAGAGAAGAACGAGUGUGAGAGUGGAAAGUUCACACUGUGACGGUAGCUUACCAGAAAGGGACGGCUAACUACGUG
rnacentral:rRNA from 1 species